rnacentral:snoRNA from 1 species
AUGCAAGUGUCCAUUACGCGGAGGCUUGUGCCUCAUGACGUUUAGUUUAGCUUGCGAGAUGAAACUGACAUCUCGAAGACAGGCGCAUCGUUCUUGUAGAGCUCCUGUUCAAGAUUGGCAGACAAUC